rnacentral:lncRNA from 1 species
CCGACCAUCAUUAGUGAUGAUGAUCCGAGGUAAACCAAACUGAUAGAUUAUGAAUUUUCAGACAAAAUUCUGUAUCUUUUUUUCUAUGAUUUGGGCUAAAAGCUCUAUUUCUAUCCAUUUUGUGAAAUAAUCAAUAGCCACCAUCAAAACUUUUCUUUGACCUGCCGCUACUAGAAAAGGCCCCAAUAUAUCCAUCCCCUAAAUUACAAGGGGCCAGGGGCUGCAAUAG